UACUUUUUGGAACUUUUUCUCCUUGUUUACAUUUUGUGACAUUGCGUACAAUAGAGGAGAAGAAAAGAGAACUCCAACAAGAAAGAGUUCUGGAGAAAGGGCUGCAGGAAAACAAAUACAGCUAUUCAAGCAAGUCAAGGUUUUGUGAAAUCUCAGAGACCAAUGGCCAUCAAGUGUUUGAUAAAAUAUCUGUGUGAAACUUGGGAUAGCAGAGAAAACACGGAGAGAAUGAUCGCACAGGGACCAAAGGGGACGUUGUUGACACCAUUAACGGUGAUUCUGGCAAGUUAAUUUAUUCUGGGAAUGAUGGAUCUGAGAUGAACUUGGCUAAUGCGGUGGCUUAUUCUCUCCUACGAGUGCUAAUGGGCUUGUCAAGAGUAUUGGAGCUGGUGG